AGCCGAAACAGCGGCAGAGAGCCGCUGUCUGCCGGAACUGGUCUACCGGCACUGAUGAUGGCAGACCGGA
rfam:Ruminococcus callidus ATCC 27760 genomic scaffold Scaffold724, whole genome shotgun sequence.